rnacentral:rRNA from 1 species
CCCUUAGACGUUCUGGGCCGCACGCGCGCUACACUGACCAGUGCAACAAGCAUCCGUCCUUGGCCGACAGGCCCGGGCAAUCUUUGAACGCUGGUCGUGAUGGGGAUAGACUUUUGCAAUUUUUGGUCUUCAACGAGGAAUUCCUAGUAAACGCAAGUCAUCAACUUGCAUUGAUUACGUCCCUGUCCUUUGUACACACCGCCCGUCGCACCUACCGAUUGAAUGGUCCGGUGAAGCCUCCGGAUUGGCGCGCACCUCGGUGCCGCCGAGAAGUUGGCUAAACCUUACCAUUUAGAGGAAGGUGAAGUCGUANCA